UACGUAGGGGGCAAGCGUUGUCCGGAUUUAUUGGGCGUAAAGAGCGUGUAGGCGGUCAGGUAGGUCGGUUGUGAAAACUGGAGGCUCAACCUUCAGAGGUCGACCGAAACCCCCUGGCUAGAGUCCGGGAGAGGAGAGUGGAAUUCCUGGUGUAGCGGUGAAAUGCGCAGAUAUCAGGAAGAACACCCGUAGCGAAAGCGGCUCUCUGGAACGGUACUGACGCUGAGACGCGAAAGCGUGGGGAGCGAACAGG
rnacentral:rRNA from 1 species